GCGCCGGAGCAGUUCAUUUCUGUAAUGGCCGCCGUCUGGCGUUGUCGGUGAAUCGGUCUCUUUGCAUUCUCGCGAUACAAACUGCACAACGUUAUCGUUUACAAAACUUUAGUGCAAGUCAAUCCACGUAACGAGAAAGGUGCGGUGUUUGCUCGUGCAUUGUGUAUGGUGGUAAAUAAGCGGUGAAUCCGCAACGGACGGUCUGUCGAGAGAAUUCAAAUCUGAUAUGCACUGUGUCCUCACUGUUUACUCGACCCAUCGACCGUACAGAGUGUGGUAGAUCGAAGAAUCGUGUUUGACGAUAGAAAGAAAUACAAUUGUGAUCGCAGGAUGCGAUCGAAUUUCGGUGAUCGAUGCUCGGUAUUCGGGCAUAGCUUCGUCUUCGGACAGUAAACAAAAGUGACAGCGUGUGUGGUGGAUGGGGUAGACGGUCAUGCCUCCCAUUUCGACCGAGCCUGUCGACAGUAUUUGACGUGUUGUUCUUCGCGAGCCCGAAUUCUCACUCACGUGGUUCAAGGUCAUCUAAAAUCAUCUUAACGUCACGUUGCCAACAAGGCCCAGCAAAAUUUCACGGCACUUUCGCGAUCGAAUGUCCCUCGACUGUUGUCACUGACAGCGAGUCGGAGCCACGCUUUUCCCGGUCAUCGGCACUGUUGUUAUACCUUCUUCAUGGACUUUACUCAGGAUUAGUGACUGGAAGGAUUUAAACGGAAGACUGAAAAACAUUGGAUACGUUGUUUUCAUUUGCGCAGAUUUCUUCCAGGUGAGCCAAAAUUUCCUAAAAAUUUGAAGGACGAAAAGGAAGAGGAAAGAGAGACAGAGACGGAGAGAGAUGUGCCAAGUUUCGUCGUUGCGGAUGUUCCGUGUGCUUCCGGGGUUGAUCAACGCCGACCGUUUGCCGCACUGCGUCCCCUGCUAGGAUCAUGUCCUAGUCUGUUGUGAUCUACGAAUCGUGAUUACCACUGCCAACCAUAACUCGCGUCGAAGUAAAACGCGACCCUGAGAUGCCGAGCUACCGUGUCGAGGACGUCGUAGCUCGUCGUCUCCCGAAUCUUCCCGAUCGAGCAUCGACGAUCUCGUUCGUUUGAAUCAACGAACGAGAGAUAGAGAGAAAAAUACGUCACGUCACGUUACGUCACGUCACGUUACGUCCAGCGAUAAGACUGAUUAAUCCGUGUGUAAUGCAGGACGAGGAGGCGACGACCUUCCGUCCCGAUUUAACCUGCUCAAUCUUCCGUUUGCAAUAACGGCGAAUAUGUUCGGCAAGGUGCCACCUUCGAACACACCAGGGCCACCCUGUAGCUGCGACUCGUCCAGCAAGUCCGGUCCAACCACGUGUUUGCCGUGUUUCUCAGUCGACGAGACAUCGAGCAUGCUGACGGAGGAGAAGUCGAAAGCUUGGAGAUCGAAGGACAGCUGCGCCCACGUGGUCUCUGAACCACCCUCCACGGGUAUGGAGGAGAAACAAAAGCUGUGGAGAUCGAAGGAGAACGUGGUCUUCGAAGCACCCUGUAUCCUCGAGGACAAGUCGAAGAGUAAGAACACUUUGGUGGAAGAUAAAUCGAGAUCAUCAUGGAGAUUGAAGGAGAACAGUAGCACAGGCCUGUCCGAGGUGUCUUCCCCGGUCGAGGAGAAGUCUAAAGCGCGAAAAUGCAAGGAAACGUGUUCAGCAACCGAGAGUGUCGACGAUAAGAAGUGUUGGAAGUCUAAGGAGAGUAUCAGUCCGCUGGAAACCCCCACGGACGACAAGUCCAAGCCUCGCAGAGCCUCGAAAGACUCUAGCAACAUCGAGUCGUGUUGUGGUUCGCAAACUGUUCAGCCAAAUCUGUCCCAAUCGUCAACCGCGUUUGUCGAGGCCAACAGUAGAUGUUGCAGUACUAAGAACUCUUCCUCUAAAUAUUCGAAAGAAACUUCUCACGGAAGAAACCACACGGGAUUGGUGACGAAGUCGAACUCGGUCGUCCACAAGUGCUCGUCCAACCCCAAUUGCCCCAACUUCACGAAAUCCCCGGGCUGUUCUGGUGGGAGCAAAUCACAGAGGGUACUUUGUUCCACGAGUCUGAGCAGCCUGAACGUUGACCCUGGCUCUAGGGAAGCUUGCAAGCUCUCGAAGAAGCACUCUGGCCCGUGCCGGGAGUUAGCGACGGGCAAAGAGCAACAUCUAACUGGUGGAAAGUGCGUUUCCAGAGAGGGUCAAAGGAACAGCUCGCAAGCUGGUUGUUUAGCGAGCAAAUCAUCGAGCAGGUCUUCCGAUGCUGCUUAUUCAGCUUCGAACGGCAAGAAUAGAGCCGUUUCCGAGUCGAGCGACGAGACGGCCGACUCGUCGAUGGACUUUUCUGUGAUCUCUGUGAUUCAAUCGACUCCGAGUGAAUCUUGUUCGAGAUCAUCCGCGAAAGGAUACGGUGACAAAGACACGGUCGACUCGUCCGCUGCCGGUGGCAACUGCGAUAGAAGUUGCAGAGGUGAUUUUACCACGUCCACACCGUCGAAAGAUUGGAUGAAAAACGGAGACGCGUUGCAGCAGAACUGCGUUUCCUGUCUGCCGCAAGAUCUACCGACGGAGUUACAGUUUUCGCCAAGGAGUUACAGGGAACGAGAAAAGUGCCGUGAUCCGUGGAGACCCACCGAAAUGGAAAGCAAUAUUUGCAAUCUGAACGUAUGUCCUAGUGAUACGUAUCAGGAUACCGGCACGAAAAGGAGGACAGGUGCUUCCUGCCAGGCGUUGAGGCAUGCCGUUGCAUCGCUCAAUCGAUUGGAUGACUUUUACAUGGAGAAGAUUGGUGCUGGAUUCUUUUCGGAAGUCUUUAAGGUUACACAUAAAGUGACGAGUCAGGUGAUGGUCCUGAAGAUGAACCAGCUGCCAGCGAACAGGCCGAACAUGUUGAAGGAGGUUCAAUUGAUGAACAAGCUAAGCCAUCCGAACAUAUUGAGGUUUAUGGGCGUGUGCGUGCACGAGGGCCAGCUGCAUGCCCUAACGGAGUACAUAAACGGUGGUAGUUUGGAACAGCUGAUCAUGGCGAGGCACACGCCUCUUCCGCACCUGAUCAGGAUGAAAUUAGCGAGGGACGUAUCACGGGGGAUGGCCUAUCUCCACAGUCGUGGCCUGUUCCAUCGCGAUCUCACCUCGAAGAACGUACUGAUCAAGAAAGAUGAGAAUACGUCCGAGAUGACCGCGGUGGUGGGUGAUUUUGGACUGGCAGCUAAGAUUCCGGAUCCUAGUUCGGGAUACAGGCUGAGCACAGUGGGCAGUCCGUAUUGGAUGUCGCCUGAAUGCCUGAAGGGUCAAUGGUACGAUCACAGGUCGGACGUUUUCUCGUUCGGUAUCGUGGUCUGCGAGCUGAUCGGCCGCGUGCCGGCCGAUCCGGACGUUCUGCCACGGUCAGAUAACUUUGGCCUCGAUUACCUGGCCGUGGCAGAGAUUUGCGCGGCAGCUGAUCCACCACCAGCCUUCCUCCAACUCGCCUUCAAUUGUUGCACGUACGAGCCGAAAUCGAGGCCAACCUUCUCAGAGAUCACCACCAGUCUGGACAACAUGAUCAGCAAUUACGAGGAUGAAUCGAAGAACAAUAUCUGUAAACGUCAAUCCGUGGACCCGACUCUGAUGUCGAGCAUGGAUGAGAUCACUCGGGAGGGACGUUCCAUGAAACGUAAGACUGCUCGUCUCAGGAGUCAAUCGGCGGAUGCGAGAGGUUGCGAUAACGCGACACCAUCGGACAAGGCGAGAUGUCAUUCCGCUAGGAGGGUAGCGGAAUUGGCGAGCAGAAGGGACCCGCAUUACAGGCCAAUGACGGCGAAUCCGUUCCACGCGUUGGGUGGCGUCAAGAAGAUCCUCGGUGACUUGUUCUCCAGCUGCUUGGAGCUACCGUCGUUGGAAGACGUCAGACCGAGUGUUACCGAUGCUAUCGCCAAGUUCAAACCUGCCCAGAACGACAGUAUCGCGAAGAUCUUGGACAGGAAGAAGCCGAGCUCCGAGCCGAGCAGUCCGACUGCCAGGAAGAAGUGGGAGAGAAAGGUGGCUACGAAAGUAGGCGCAGCCAGUUUAUUUACUCAUCCGCUGUUCCGCGAUGGUUGGGAGCCCAGAAGGCGUGGUAGCUGCGAGUCAGGCUUCUGGAGCUGCGUCGGAGAGGAUCUCAGCCCCGAGCCUCCUAAUCGUCGACACACCUCGACUCUAAGCAGUUCAGCAGCGAGUAGUCUAUUUCUGUUGGACGAUCACAGAACUAGCUCCAUAUACACUGACUCGUCCGAGGACAUAGCUAGUUUGGGUGGCGGUGACUCCUGUUGGGAGGACAGGUUAGGCGGCAUCGGGUCUUCCAGUAAAACCAUUUCUAAAAUCGUCGAGUAUUUCGAGAGGAAGCAAGCCGGCAGCUUGCGAUUCGCCGAUCACGAUGUCGGUUCCGCUAGGUUAACCUUGUUGAAAGCAAGCUUAGAGGGUUCGGUUCCUUUGUGCAGCAUCUCGGCCGCGCAGAGAUUAGUCGUUUGCGAGGGUGCCGUCAGGAGCAAAUUACCCCUGUUCGACAAAAAGUGAUACACCGUCACUUGGGCGUCGUAGAAGUCGUUCCUUUAGAGUUUUUUUUUUUUUUUAUUUUCAUGAUGAUAUACAGGGUGUUCGAAAAUUGAACGAUCAAACUUCGAGGGUAUAAAGAUCGAGGUUAAACAAAGGAAGAAUUUCAAAUAACUCGAAAUAUUAUGGAACUCUUCUCUUUUCUUUCAAAUUUUCAAUAAAAUACAACGGUGAAAUUUGAUUGUUUAACUUCGAAACACUCUGUGUUUAUGGUUCGCUCGGAGGCGCCUACGGAAAGAACCGCUUCAAGUCGUUCCAUGAAGGAAAAAAAGUGAAUAUGAAAAAUGUCUAUUCAGUUGCAGAGGAAAAUCGCGUCGAACGAUUCAGUCGCGUGUUAAAGAAGGACUGAAAGUAAUCGAAUAACGACUAUACUUUCGUCGAACUUGAAGAGAAGCAAGGUUCAGUGGAAGUAUAACCGAGUACGAAUUCAGCAGACGCUUCUCUAAAAUCUAGUAACCCGACUGUGAUGUUUUUUGAUAAUCUACAUACAUUAUUGAUCCAAUAGGACACUAUGCUCGUUGAAGCUGUCAGCGUGACAGGAAGUUCUUUUUACGCGCGACGAUCGUUCGUCCUUUCAACGCUACGUUGCUGCACCGUAUUUAAAAACCAUGUACCCGAUGCGACGGGAAGCCCCGAUAAAUUGUACAAGAUCCUUUCGUUAUAGAUAAUGCCAGGUACGUUAAUAGUAUUUCGCGAACAGGAUAUUUUUCCUUGGUUUAACCCUUUCGAUACAAAAAGCCAUUGCAGUAGUAUUUUGUAGAAUUUCUCAAUGAAUUCGACGUACGAAAAGCACUUUAGUGACCAUUCGUAGAGAAUAUCGCAUUGAACGAAUGGCUACUAUAGUGAUAGUCUGUGAAAACUAUUGCUACGUAUAGUGUCCAUUCGUAGAGAUGAUCGCGUUGUACGAAAGGCUGCUAUAGUAAUAGUUUGUUAUGCAUCAAAGCUUACUAUAGUGAUAGUCCUAUGGCCACAUUUUUACCAAUCAAUCAAAUUUUCGAUGCCAUCGAUUACUUCUUCCAAACAGACAAAUGAUAACACUUUUUAAUCAGCUUCGCCGUAGAGAAAGGGUUAAAGGAGAAAGAUGUAACGUUUCAGAAGGAUAGACAGAAGCAAUAAAACACGUUUAAUUUCGUGAGACUGCGGCAAACGAAUGCCAGUAGAGAAACGCUGCUCGUGUUCUUACCUUUUGCAGUGCCUCGCAGUUCCUAGUUAGCCACCUCCGUCCUUAUCCAUGUCAAACCGACAUUUUACCGAUCAUCGUUGACGACGAUACACAUCGAGAUACGAAUACAGCCACGUCGAGAAAUACGGUUUUUUAGUACGUUGCACCCUUAAAUCCGUCUCCCUUUAAUUAGUUCGUCCUUAGACGCGUUACUCUUGUACUAGAGACAAGCACGUCGAAACGGAGACACAGAUGCGAGAGAAAACGGCGCCUUUAAUUUUAUCAUGAAAUUUCGAGGACAAAAUGAAAAGUAAUAAAUUAUUUCGAUUGAUACGUUUUCUGCCCCAAAUCAUCUGUCAGUUUAAAACAAAUAUUGCCGCUUUCCGCAGUAUGCACGUUAAUAACAAUAAUUUUUGCAAUCUUAUGAAUAUUGUAAGGUAUAUAUAAUAAGCAAAAAUUACUAUCUACAACGUGGACCGUGCGAAUGAUUAAGAUAUUCGGUGUGGCAGGGAACGUGUUAAAAGUUUUUCACGAUUUUAAGAAUAUGUUUUAAAAUCAUAUCGUUGGAAAGACUGGAUCGUUAGGUUCUCGAUGCGAUCGACAUCCUACUAUUGUUGUACGUUAUGCUCGAAACGACAUUGCCGUCUUCUUUUCUGUGACAUCGUGUACGUUCGCGAAAUGUAUGCAGGGCGCGUGAGAAUUGACGGCGCAUCAUUUUUCUUCCUUGUACCACGAAUUUGAAUAGUACCCUGCGUAUAUUAUAGAGAAUUAAUCAGGGCCUAUGCUGUGCUUAUACGAGGUUUUUAAUUACACUUCCGGUCGAAGGAUACUUCCCCAGCGCGUGACGUGGUCACGCGUGUCGUAGAUUAGUGCUCAGGAUACGAAUGGAGACACAUAGUAUAUUUUGUUGACCAGAGAGAUACCGUGUCCUGAAUAUUUUUGUUGAUAUAGAAAACCGAUGGACGAUGGUCCGAAAUUUUUCGAGAAGAAAAGAGAAAACCGGGAGGAAGAAAAAGAGAGAGAAAGAGAGAGAGAGAGAGAGCAAAUGAAACUGAUCUAGUCAGUGUAUUAUCGUGGCGGCCUUAUCUUUUGUAUGUCGUAGCGCUAAUAACUUAAGUGUUCCAAGGAAAGUGAACAAAGCGUGAGAAAUAGGAAGAUAACGAUGGUCGUUGGAGAAUACAAAACGAUUGCGAGCUCAGAUGAAACGAACGUUUCGCACACGUUGUUUGUAACGUUCAAUAGAGAAGGCAAACGGAACUCAAAAUGUACAUGAUUAUCUAUAGAACGAGCGAAUGUCUGAAUGACUGGGAAUAGCGUAUGUUUAUUGACUGCUUCUUCGAGUUUGUGUCUCUUCGACGGUACAAAUGUACGGAUGAUUCUUCGUUAGAAUCAUCCUGUGCUUUCUAACGUUCCACGUCUGAUGAAAUACAUUGUGUAAUUUGAAUUUGUUUAUUCCGAGCUUAGAACACGAAUAGAGAAACAAACUCGAUGUGGCAAGCAGUACGUACUGCAUUUUAGUUAUGCCGUGUUACACAAAUACAGUAUCUUUGUGAGACGAUUGACAGAAUGUAUUCGAAUAGUCUUCCGAAAACUUGAAUGCUUUAUUUUAGUUCGUCUCUUAGGCCAUGGGUACAUCGGUAAAGGUCUCUACUUACGACCUUAAAUUAACACAAUCAAAUUAGUUUAUAUUAUCUCACAGACCUGAUGCUAUAUUUAAAAAAAAGUUUCGUUUUGAAUGUUUCUUGUUUGUGGACUGAUACUGUGUAUGUGUAGUAAAUCACGUGGCGAGAAAUAAUGGGUAACUAUUAAUUAGUUUGCGUUUUCAAGCGUCAAUCGUUUCGUCGCCCUGGUUGCGGGACAAGUCGAACCAAAUUUCUACUAGAGUAUAUUAUAAUAUAAUAGGCUACUACUAUACCUUUUUACUUGUCAGAGUUCGUUCACGGGUUCUACUUGAUAAGACUGCGUGUUUGUUAAAUAUGUAUGUAAGUAGUAAGUUUUUCAUUACAUUCGCAGUCCCUUCUUCCUUGCCUAACGGAAUACACCGUCGACCAGAAACCAAGAUUUUUCUUUCGUCCUGUCGAAUCAAUGCAAGAAUCCUAAUUUUUACUGGACAACAGUAUCCAAGGAAUCGAAGAGUGGAAAGGAGAGGAAAUUUCGAAGAUGUGUAAUCAAUUUUUUUUUUUUUUUUUUUGGACCAUCGAAACGAAAAUUGUGUUUUAUACUUUUGCAUCGAGUCGACCCAACGUGGAACGAUGCGUUCUGUUUCGACGCGUCAAUCGGUACCUGAAGAAACGUUGAAGCGAGGACUGCGAAUCAAGUUAUUUUUAAUAGACGCGAACAUAUCAGGAGUGGGCAUAUCCUGAAGUAAAUUUGUUGCUCGUGAGAGAUGAUCGUCAACAGAAAGAGAGAGAGAGAGAGAUAGGACAGAAAGGCACAGAACGAGAGUGAAUGAGAGAAUGACAGAGUGCAAGUGAUUUAAAAAAGAAAAAAAAAGAACAAAAAAAAAAA